GAAAUGCGAUAAGUAAUGUGAAUUGCAGAAUUCAGUGAAUCAUCGAAUCUUUGAACGCACAUUGCGCCCGCCAGUAUUCUGGCGGGCAUGCCUGUUCGAGCGUCAUUUCAACCCUCAAACCCCCGGGUUUGGUGUUGGGGAUCGGCCGCACACUGCGGCGGCCGGCCCUGAAAUACAGUGGCGGUCUCGCUGUUGCCUCUCCUGCGUAGUAGCACAUCUCGCAUUAGAACACAGCGCGGCCACGCCGUAAAACCCCCCAAUUUCUGAAUGUUGACCUCGGAUCAGGUAGGAAUACCCGCUGAACUUAA
rnacentral:misc_RNA from 1 species